UGGCGGCAGGCCUAACACAUGCAAGUCGAGCGGCAGCGGGAAAGUAGCUUGCUACUUUUGCCGGCGAGCGGCGGACGGGUGAGUAAUGCUUGGGGAUCUGCCCGGUCGAGGGGGAUAACCGUUGGAAACGACGGCUAAUACCGCAUACGCCCUACGGGGGAAAGCAGGGGACCUUCGGGCCUUGCGCGAUUGGAUGAACCCAAGUGAGAUUAGCUGGUUGGUGAGGUAACGGCUCACCAAGGCGACGAUCUCUAGCUGGUCUGAGAGGAUGACCAGUCACACUGGGACUGAGACACGGCCCAGACUCCUACGGGAGGCAGCAGUGGGGAAUAUUGCACAAUGGGGGAAACCCUGAUGCAGCCAUGCCGCGUGUGUGAAGAAGGCCUUCGGGUUGUAAAGCACUUUCAGUGGUGAGGAAAGGAGGUUGGCUAAUACCCGGCCUCUGUGACGUUAACCACAGAAGAAGCACCGGCUAACUCCGUG
rnacentral:rRNA from 1 species